GGGGGUAUAGCUCAGUGGUAGAGCAUUUGACUGCACAUCAAGAGGUCUCUGGUGCCCCCU
rnacentral:tRNA from 1 species